ensembl:miRNA dre-mir-137-2 microRNA 137-2
GUUCUGUUGUUUCCCUCUAUAAAGGACUCUCUUCGGUGACGGGUAUUCUUGGGUGGAUAAUACGGCUCUCGUUGUUAUUGCUUAAGAAUACGCGUAGUCGAGGAGAGUCAUGUCGGCGGCGAGAGAGC